CCAAGAUGGCGGCUCCAAAUCUCGUCAGCGCUAGUAGGGAGCAGCGGUCGAUGCGGCGUCUAUGUAUAUUAUGUCUAUGCAUUCAAUCGCCCCUAAAUGGCAGACCUGCGCAGUUGGUGGUUGAGAGAUUUAAAAUGCCAAUGGCGGCCUUUGAUUACGUGAUUCUUGGUAGCAGUAGGCACCCGCAAGGACUACCACCGAAGUCCGGAGAAGUAAAGGGGGCUCGGAAGACGCAACGCACAACGCACCUGGGGAGAGGCCAUAUAUCGUUCUAGCAGAGCGGUGUUCAGACCGGAAUACAACGCACUCAAUAUAUCCACGUUAAGGGAAGUAACUUGACCAUCGUUCUAUGAGUGAGAGGGCUGUCAUCGCGGCUGUGGUGGACGUUGAUUUCUACCCCUUUCCCCUGCAGUUCCGGAGACAGCUGAAUCGAGUGGAGGAAGACGGCGAAAGAGAGGCCUACAACGCACUCUAUGUAUUGCACUAAAGGGAAGUACUCAUAUCGUAGCCUACCACUAUUUGUGCGAGUGGCCUAAAUUUCGUGUCAGUGUGAUUGCUGAUCACUGUUCCUCCCCUUCCGCAGCUCUGUUCGUGUCUGCGAAGAGGCGUGUGGGUCGUGAAAGCGAGUGCGUGCCAUAAGGAGAAGACUACUGGGAGUGUCGGGUCUGGACUGUUCACCGCGGCGACCAUUGAGUAGGCUAGCUAGCUUCGAGCGCUAGCAGCUACUACGUGGAGAAGUAAAUCGCUGGGUCGUGAGUGGUGCAUGGACUGUUCCUCUAUAGCCCUUAUUAGCCUUUUCCUUGUACGAGCUAAAUACUACCAGUUGUCUAGCCUUAUUAUUAUGUCCGGCUGCCCAUGGUGCUAGAUAGGCCUGCUAUGUGAUCCUAAAUCUGGUGAUUGUCUUAUCGCUGUUAAGUGCUCUAUGUCUCUGUGGGCCUAUUGCCCGUUUUGUCUGAGUGUCGCCGUAGCUUAAGUUUGCUGUGUUGCCGUGGUGUUCAGUGCUCUUAUGAUUCACCGUGAUACUGUUGGCUUGUAUGGCCCUUUACGUUUGCUGUGAGGCUUGAUAAUUGUGUGCUGUGUUACAUGAUAAUUGUGUGCUGUGUUAUAUGCCGUCACACCAUCAGGCAUACCCACAUUGUGUAGAGCAUUAUAGCCUGAGAUCUCCCUCCUCUAGAGGGCGCCAGAAUAUGGUAUUUACCAGGCUACUGAUUUGUUUUGUAGUUUCAGUGCUUCCAUACUGGUCCUAUACUGUAAACAGGCUGUAAACUUACAUGGGCUAUUGAAUUGUUCUGUGGCCCUUCAGUUCUUUCACACUGGUCCUAUACUUUUAAUUGCUGACAACUGAAGUGCGUCAUGUAGGGA